rnacentral:rRNA from 1 species
CGGAGAGUUUGAUCCUGGCUCAGGACGAACGCUGGCGGCAUGCCUAAUACAUGCAAGUCGAACGAGUUCCCGUUGAUUGACGUGCUUGCACUGAUUUCAGCAUUGGAACGAGUGGCGAACUGGUGAGUAACACGUGGAAAACCUGCCCAGAAGCAGGGGAUAACACCUGGAAACAGAUGCUAAUACCGCAUAACAACUUGGACCGCAUGGUCCGAGUUUGAAAGAUGGCUUCGGCUAUCACUUUUGGAUGGUCCCGCGGCGUAUUAGCUAGAUGGUGAGGUAACGGCUCACCAUGGCAAUGAUACGUAGCCGACCUGAGAGGGUAAUCGGCCACAUUGGGACUGAGACACGGCCCAAACUCCUACGGGAGGCAGCAGUAGGGAAUCUUCCACAAUGGACGAAAGUCUGAUGGAGCAAUGCCGCGUGAGUGAAGAAGGUUUUCGGAUCGUAAAACUCUGUUGUUGAAGAAGAACAUAUGUGAGAGUAACUGUUCACGUACUGACGGUAUUCAACCAGAAAGCCACGGCUAACUACGUGCCAGCAGCCGCGGUAAUACGUAGGUGGCAAGCGUUGUCCGGAUUUAUUGGGCGUAAAGCGAGCGCAGGCGGUUUUUUAAGUCUGAUGUGAAAGCCUUCGGCUCAACCGAAGAAGUGCAUCGGAAACUGGGAAACUUGAGUGCAGAAGAGGACAGUGGAACUCCAUGUGUAGCGGUGAAAUGCGUAGAUAUAUGGAAGAACACCAGUGGCGAAGGCGGCUGUCUGGUCUGUAACUGACGCUGAGGCUCGAAAGCAUGGGUAGCGAACAGGAUUAGAUACCCUGGUAGUCCAUGCCGUAAACGAUGAGUGCUAGGUGUUGG